rnacentral:rRNA from 1 species
GAUGAACGCUGGCGGUCUGCUUAACACAUGCAAGUCGAACGAACUCUUCGGAGUGAGUGGCGGACGGGUGAGUAACGCGUGAGAAUCUGCCUGUGGGUCGGGGACAACCACUGGAAACGGUGGCUAAUACCGGAUGAGCCGAAAGGUAAAGAUUUAUUGCCCACAGAUGAGCUCGCGUCUGAUUAGCUAGUUGGUAAGGUAAAGCGUACCAAGGCGACGAUCAGUAGCUGGUCUGAGAGGAUGAGCAGCCACACUGGGACUGAGACACGGCCCAGACUCCUACGGGAGGCAGCAGUGAGGAAUAUUGCACAAUGGGGAAACCCUGAUGCAGCCAUGCCGCGUGUGUGAUGAAGGCCUUAGGGUUGUAAAGCACUUUCAUGGUGAAGAUAAUGACGGUACCAAG